UACGAGAGGCCCAAACGUUAUUCGGAAUUACUGGGCUUAGAGAGUUCGUAGGCGGCGCGGAAAGUAGGGUGUGAAAUCCCUCGGCUCAACCGAGGAAUUGCGCCCUAAACUGCCGUGCUUGAGGAAGCUAGAGGUGAGCGGAACUGAUGGUGGAGCGGUGAAAUGCGUUGAUAUCAUCAGGAACACCGGAGGCGAAGGCGGCUCACUGGGGCCUUUCUGACGCUGAGGAACGAAAGCCAGGGUAGCGAACGGG
rnacentral:rRNA from 1 species